rnacentral:rRNA from 1 species
ACUAAGCGUACACGGUGGAUGCCCUGGCAGUCAGAGGCGAUGAAGGACGUGCUAAUCUGCGAUAAGCGUCGGUAAGGUGAUAUGAACCGUUAUAACCGGCGAUUUCCGAAUGGGGAAACCCAGUGUGAUUCGUCACACUAUCAUUAACUGAAUCCAUAGGUUAAUGAGGCGAACCGGGGGAACUGAAACAUCUAAGUACCCCGAGGAAAAGAAAUCAACCGAGAUUCCCCCAGUAGCGGCGAGCGAACGGGGAGCAGCCCAGAGCCUGAAUCAGUGUGUGUGUUAGUGGAAGCGUCUGGAAAGGCGUGCGAUACAGGGUGACAGCCCCGUACACAAAAAUGCACAUACUGUGAGCUCGAUGAGUAGGGCGGGACACGUGGUAUCCUGUCUGAAUAUGGGGGGACCAUCCUCCAAGGCUAAAUACUCCUGACUGACCGAUAGUGAACCAGUACCGUGAGGGAAAGGCGAAAAGAACCCCGGCGAGGGGAGUGAAAAAGAACCUGAAACCGUGUACGUACAAGCAGUGGGAGCACGCUUAGGCGUGUGACUGCGUACCUUUUGUAUAAUGGGUCAGCGACUUAUAUUCUGUAGCAAGGUUAACCGAAUAGGGGAGCCGAAGGGAAACCGAGUCUUAACUGGGCGUUAAGUUGCAGGGUAUAGACCCGAAACCCGGUGAUCUAGCCAUGGGCAGGUUGAAGGUUGGGUAACACUAACUGGAGGACCGAACCGACUAAUGUUGAAAAAUUAGCGGAUGACUUGUGGCUGGGGGUGAAAGGCCAAUCAAACCGGGAGAUAGCUGGUUCUCCCCGAAAGCUAUUUAGGUAGCGCCUCGUGAAUUCAUCUCCGGGGGUAGAGCACUGUUUCGGCAAGGGGGUCAUCCCGACUUACCAACCCGAUGCAAACUGCGAAUACCGGAGAAUGUUAUCACGGGAGACACACGGCGGGUGCUAACGUCCGUCGUGAAGAGGGAAACAACCCAGACCGCCAGCUAAGGUCCCAAAGUCAUGGUUAAGUGGGAAACGAUGUGGGAAGGCCCAGACAGCCAGGAUGUUGGCUUAGAAGCAGCCAUCAUUUAAAGAAAGCGUAAUAGCUCACUGGUCGAGUCGGCCUGCGCGGAAGAUGUAACGGGGCUAAACCAUGCACCGAAGCUGCGGCAGCGACGCUUAUGCGUUGUUGGGUAGGGGAGCGUUCUGUAAGCCUGUGAAGGUGUGCUGUGAGGUAUGCUGGAGGUAUCAGAAGUGCGAAUGCUGACAUAAGUAACGAUAAAGCGGGUGAAAAGCCCGCUCGCCGGAAGACCAAGGGUUCCUGUCCAACGUUAAUCGGGGCAGGGUGAGUCGACCCCUAAGGCGAGGCCGAAAGGCGUAGUCGAUGGGAAACAGGUUAAUAUUCCUGUACUUGGUGUUACUGCGAAGGGGGGACGGAGAAGGCUAUGUUGGCCGGGCGACGGUUGUCCCGGUUUAAGCGUGUAGGCUGGUUUUCCAGGCAAAUCCGGAAAAUCAAGGCCGAGGCGUGAUGACGAGGCACUACGGUGCUGAAGCAACAAAUGCCCUGCUUCCAGGAAAAGCCUCUAAGCAUCAGGUAACAUCAAAUCGUACCCCAAACCGACACAGGUGGUCAGGUAGAGAAUACCAAGGCGCUUGAGAGAACUCGGGUGAAGGAACUAGGCAAAAUGGUGCCGUAACUUCGGGAGAAGGCACGCUGAUACGUAGGUGAAGCGACUUGCUCGUGGAGCUGAAAUCAGUCGAAGAUACCAGCUGGCUGCAACUGUUUAUUAAAAACACAGCACUGUGCAAACACGAAAGUGGACGUAUACGGUGUGACGCCUGCCCGGUGCCGGAAGGUUAAUUGAUGGGGUUAGCGCAAGCGAAGCUCUUGAUCGAAGCCCCGGUAAACGGCGGCCGUAACUAUAACGGUCCUAAGGUAGCGAAAUUCCUUGUCGGGUAAGUUCCGACCUGCACGAAUGGCGUAAUGAUGGCCAGGCUGUCUCCACCCGAGACUCAGUGAAAUUGAACUCGCUGUGAAGAUGCAGUGUACCCGCGGCAAGACGGAAAGACCCCGUGAACCUUUACUAUAGCUUGACACUGAACAUUGAGCCUUGAUGUGUAGGAUAGGUGGGAGGCUUUGAAGUGUGGACGCCAGUCUGCAUGGAGCCGACCUUGAAAUACCACCCUUUAAUGUUUGAUGUUCUAACGUGGACCCGUAAUCCGGGUUGCGGACAGUGUCUGGUGGGUAGUUUGACUGGGGCGGUCUCCUCCUAAAGAGUAACGGAGGAGCACGAAGGUUGGCUAAUCCUGGUCGGACAUCAGGAGGUUAGUGCAAUGGCAUAAGCCAGCUUGACUGCGAGCGUGACGGCGCGAGCAGGUGCGAAAGCAGGUCAUAGUGAUCCGGUGGUUCUGAAUGGAAGGGCCAUCGCUCAACGGAUAAAAGGUACUCCGGGGAUAACAGGCUGAUACCGCCCAAGAGUUCAUAUCGACGGCGGUGUUUGGCACCUCGAUGUCGGCUCAUCACAUCCUGGGGCUGAAGUAGGUCCCAAGGGUAUGGCUGUUCGCCAUUUAAAGUGGUACGCGAGCUGGGUUUAGAACGUCGUGAGACAGUUCGGUCCCUAUCUGCCGUGGGCGCUGGAGAACUGAGGGGGGCUGCUCCUAGUACGAGAGGACCGGAGUGGACGCAUCACUGGUGUUCGGGUUGUCAUGCCAAUGGCACUGCCCGGUAGCUAAAUGCGGAAGAGAUAAGUGCUGAAAGCAUCUAAGCACGAAACUUGCCCCGAGAUGAGUUCUCCCUGACCCUUUAAGGGUCCUGAAGGAACGUUGAAGACGACGACGUUGAUAGGCCGGGUGUGUAAGCGCAGCGAUGCGUUGAGCUAACCGGUACUAAUGAACCGUGAGGCUUAACC